rnacentral:rRNA from 1 species
CUAKCGRSWKKCKMSYWAGCCAUGCGAGUUGAAUGUUCUUCGUGAACAUGGCGGACUGCUCAGUAACACGUGGACAACCUACCCUUGGGUCCGGCAUAAUCCUGGGAAACUGGGAAUAAUUCCGGAUAGGUCACCGAUGCUGGAAUGCGCGGUGGCCGAAAGCUCCGGCGCCCGAGGAUGGGUCUGCGGCCUAUCAGGGUUGUAGUGGGUGUAACGUACCUACUAGCCUACGACGGGUACGGGUUGUGAGAGCAAGAGCCCGGAGAUGGAUUCUGAGACACGAAUCCAGGCCCUACGGGGUGCAGCAGGCGCGAAAACUUUACAAUGCGGGAAACCGUGAUAAGGGGAUCUCGAGUGCCAGCAUAUAAUGUUGGCUGUCCAGAUGCCUAAAAAGCAUCUGUUAGCAAGGGCCGGGCAAGACCGGUGCCAGCCGCCGCGGUAACACCGGCGGCCCGAGUGGUAACCGCUAUUAUUGGGUCUAAAGGGUCUGUAGCCGGCCAGGUAAGUCCCUUGGGAAAUCUGGCAGCUCAACUGUCAGGCUGCUAGGGGAUACUGUUUGGCUUGGGACCGGGAGAGGUGAGAGGUACCUUGGGGGUAGGGGUGAAAUCUUGUGAUCCUCGAGGGACCACCAGUGGCGAAGGCGUCUCACCAGAACGGGUCCGACGGUAAGGGACGAAAGCUAGGGGCACGAACCGGAUUAGAUACCCGGGUAGUCCUAGCCGUAAACGAUGCUCGCUAGGUGUCAGUCACGGUGCGACCGUGAUUGGUGCCGUAGGGAAGCCGUGAAGCGAGCCACCUGGGAAGUAUGGCCGCAAGGCUGAAACUUAAAGGAAUUGGCGGGGGAGCACUACAWCGGSYGGAGCCUGCGGUUUAAUG